GAUUAGAGGAUUGAUGAGAGGUUUAUACGAGCGAAGUAUACUAUCCUUGUGUGUAUGGACAAAGAGGGUCCCUGAUGCUGGUUUCCACUGUACUGUAUAUUUUCACGCGAUAUCGGUGAUUGUGUCUUGAAAACUUUGUUUCUACUCGCACUCUCGUAUAUAAAGAUGGUGGACUGGAUUGCAUUCUUGUGAAGAACUUGCAGUAGUGACUUGUACUUGUUAUGUUGAUGGCUUCUGUAAGUUGGUGUUGCCUUUUCUGUCUCUUUCUUGCUGUUUUUGUAGCAGAAGUUGGUUUUUGCUCUUCUUCCAAGGUUUAUGUGGUUUAUAUGGGAAGCAAAAGUGGGGAUGACCCAGAUGAUGUUUUGAGCCAAAAUCAUCACAUGCUUGCUUCUGUACAUGGAGGAAGUGUUGAGCAAGCGCGGGCCUCUCACCUUUAUACUUAUAGACAUGGCUUUAAAGGUUUUGCUGCUAAGCUGACCGAUGAACAAGCUUCUCAGAUUGCUAAGAUGCCUGGAGUGGUCUCUGUGUUUCCCAAUUCGAAAAGAAAGCUACAUACCACUCACUCAUGGGAUUUCAUAGGUCUGGCGGGUGAAGAGACCAUGGAGAUACCAGGGCAUUCAACCAAGAACCAAGUCAAUGUUAUAAUUGGUUUUAUUGAUACUGGAAUUUGGCCUGAAUCUCCAAGUUUUAGUGAUGCCGAUAUGCCUCCAGUGCCAGCCAGAUGGAGGGGGAAGUGCCAGCUGGGAGAAGCAUUCAAUGCUUCAUCUUGCAACAGGAAAGUGAUUGGAGCACGAUACUACAAGAGUGGCUAUGAAGCUGAAGAAGAUUCAUCAAGGAUAAUGUCAUUUAGAUCUCCAAGGGACAGCUCUGGUCAUGGCAGUCACACAGCCUCGAUAGCUGCUGGUCGUUAUGUUACAAAUAUGAAUUAUAAGGGGUUGGCAGCUGGAGGGGCUAGAGGAGGUGCACCAAUGGCCAGAAUUGCAGUUUACAAGACAUGUUGGGAGUCAGGUUGCUAUGAUGUUGACUUGUUAGCUGCCUUUGAUGAUGCAAUCAGAGACGGGGUUCAUAUUUUGUCCGUGUCUUUGGGUCCUGACGCUCCCCAGGGAGAUUAUUUCAAUGAUGCCAUCUCCAUUGGGUCAUUCCAUGCUGCUAGCCGUGGAGUGUUAGUAGUUGCUUCAGUUGGAAAUGCAGGAACCCGUGGCUCCGCAACCAACCUUGCCCCUUGGAUGAUCACUGUUGGUGCUAGUUCGAUGGAUAGGGAUUUUGCAUCUGACAUUGUUUUAGGAAAUGCCACAAAAUUCAUGGGGGAAAGUCUGAGUCUCUUUGAAAUGAAAGCCUCUGCAAGGAUCAUCUCUGCCUCUGAAGCCUUUGCAGGAUAUUUCACACCUUAUCAAUCCAGUUACUGUUUGGAGAGUUCCUUGAAUGGUACCAAAGCCAGAGGGAAAGUUCUUGUCUGUCGACAUGCUGAGAGUUCAAGUGAGUCUAAGAUUGCAAAGAGCCAGAUAGUGAAAGAAGCUGGAGGAGUUGGAAUGGUUCUUAUUGACGAGGCAGAUAAAGAUGUUGCCAUCCCUUUUCCCUUCCCUUCAGCUGUUGUGGGGAGGGAGAUGGGAAGAAAGAUUCUAUCUUACAUAAAUAACACACGCAAACCAAUGUCAAGAAUUUCCCGUGCAAAGACAGUUUUGGGUUCUCAACCAGCACCUCGUAUUGCUUCAUUUUCUUCCAAAGGACCCAAUUCCCUGACCCCUGAAAUUCUGAAGCCUGAUGUUGCAGCUCCUGGACUGAACAUCCUCGCAGCCUGGUCUCCAGCAGCUGGGAAAAUGCAAUUCAACAUUCUUUCUGGAACUUCUAUGUCAUGCCCACACAUAACAGGAGUUGCAACCUUGAUCAAAGCAGUUCACCCGUCCUGGUCUCCAUCUGCCAUCAAGUCUGCAAUCAUGACCACAGCUACCAUACUGGAUAAGAGUGGCAAACCCAUCAGAGUGGAUCCUGAAGGAAGAAUGGCCAAUGCAUUUGAUUAUGGGUCAGGGUUUGUUGAUCCUACAAGAGUUCUUGAUCCUGGCCUCAUCUAUGAUGCCCAUCCAAUAGAUUAUAAAGCUUUUCUCUGUUCAAUUGGUUAUGGUGAGAAAUCACUGCGUCUGGUCACAAGAGAUAACAGCACAUGUAAUCAGACAUUCACAACAGCUUCUAGCCUCAAUUACCCUUCAAUCACCGUUCCAAAUCUUAAAGACAGCUUCUCAGUGACUCGAACCGUGACAAAUGUUGGGAAAGCGAGAAGUGUUUACAAAGCUGUAGUGUCUAAUCCGGCAGGAAUCAAUGUUACCGUUGUGCCAAAACAACUAAUCUUUAACAGCUAUGGCCAGAAGAUCAAAUUCACAGUGAAUUUCAAGGUGGCUGCUCCAUCAAAGGGCUAUGCAUUUGGUUUUUUGACAUGGAGGAGCACAGAUGCACGGGUCACCAGCCCCCUAGCUGUCCGGGCUGCACCCUCUCCCAUGGGGCUGAUGAGAUAGCCCGGCUUAGUUUGUAUAUAUUAGCUUAGGAACUUUGAGAUCCUGAUAACCCUACACGAAUACAGAUGCAGAAAUAUACUUGAGUUCAUAAAUCCCUAUAUAGUAGCUUACCGUUACAUACCUGGAUCAUGCAGGCAACGGAAUGAAUUUUAAGAUUGUUGAACAGACCGCAUAAAAUGGCAAUAUAUACAAUGCCAAAAUUUGGCUCUCUUUAUUUAUUCAUUUACUUGUUCUUCGUCA